UAUUGCAUAGACUUGAUCAUGACUUGUUUGCCAUAUAGUUUGGUUGUUUUCAUGAUAUAUUAUGUGAAUAUUGGCAUGUUGUUUUAAGUUGUUGAUUUUAACCUUAGUCCCUCGGUGGCAAAAAGGUGGGAGAAAUUAUUUGAGAUAUUUGAUUGUUCAGUUUGAGUUGUUGCCUUAUGUACAGGGAGAUAUAAGUCAAAUAUUUGAUUGAGUAUAUAUGUUUUGAGUUAUAUGCCAUGGAUAUAGGGGAGAGUUUAUAUGGUUUGUGACAUGGUUAUAUUAUUGAAUGAUUUGUUUAUAUAUAACCAUCUUUAUCCCUAUGCGAGUAAUGAGCUUGUUGAGUGUUUUAGGUUAUCACUGAAGGUACUUCAAGCUGGCUCUGAUCUACUUAUGGUUUUAUAGAAUAGGUUAGUCUUGGGGGAAUAUAUGUAACUCAUACGUGUCUGUAAUGGUUUUGUCACCAAAUGGCCAAAGGGGGAGUUUGUUAGGCUUUAUAGAUUGGCUCAUUCAGUGUAAAAAACUUUAUUUUAUGUUUUGUGGAUAAAAGGGUAGUUCGUACUUAAGUUUGCAAUCAAAGAAUAGGAAGAUGCUAUUGAAAGAAGACAAGUACAGAGCUAGAUGUCCAGACAUGGAGAAGCAAAGUCUGAACAACCAUAUGUAAAGGCUCAUCCAGAAAGAACUUGAUACCUGAAGUGUCUGGACGGUCAUGCAAACAUUAUUUUCUCGGGUUCAAUGGUGUCCGCACGGACAAAGGACAUGUCCAGACAGAUGGGGUUCCAAAAACAUCCCGUUGGUAGGGAUGUCCAUACAACAAUGCGAACUUCGUAGAUAUGGAAGAGGCAUGUUUGGACGGGAAUGACUACAUGUCCGAACAAGCAGGGCAAUUAGGGUUACAAAACCCUAGUUGCGUCUGGACGCCACUAUUGCAUGACUACAGUUUUCUAUUUAAAGACUGAUUUCUUUCCAGAGUUUCUCAUCUCUCAGGCACACGAAAUUUUAGAGAAACUCCAAGGAGAGUUUGUGAGAGAUCGGGUUCGAAGAGCUUGGUGUGACACUACACAAGUCACUUGAAGAUGGAACUCCAAGAGAUCAUUGUAUGGAUCAAUUGGAGGGUUGAAGAAGCAAACAGAGUGCUGUUAUUACACUACAUCAACAAGGAGACAACGUGCUAGGACUGAACACAAUAGUCUGUUAGUGGGAUCAAUAAGAAUUUGGCUAGAUGAAGUUUGGCCAACAUGGGACUUGUUGGAGUAGAGACUGUGUGAAGAACAAAUCAUCCUAUAAUGGUAUAUGCCAUGAGGUAGAAGGCCAAGGCCACCGCGAGGAGCUCGUCCUCUGACCACCCGCCAGCUCUCACCUCCAGCCUCUCUGCCUCUCCCUUCGGCAAUCUCUCACACGCAUGACGCAAGAUUGAGAGAAUUAGAUGAUAUUAUUACGAAGGGAAGCUAAAAGGUCUUCAAAAA